rnacentral:rRNA from 1 species
AUUGAACGCUGGCGGCAGGCCUAACACAUGCAAGUCGAACGAGUGGCGGACGGGUGAGUAAUGUCUGGGAAACUGCCUGAUGGAGGGGGAUAAAUACUGGAAACGGUAGCUAAUACCGCAUACCAUCAGAUGUGCCCAGAUGGGAUUAGCUAGUAGGUGGGGUAACGGGUCACCUAGGCGACGAUCCCUAGCUGGUCUGAGAGGAUGACCAGCCCCACUGGAACUGGUACACGGUCCAGACUCCUACGGGAGGCAGCAGUGGGGAAUAUUGCACGAUGGGCGCAAGCCUGAUGCAGCCAUGCCGCGUGUGUGAAGAAUGCCUUCGGGUUGUAAAGCACUUUCAGCGGGGAGGCGUUACCCGCAGAAGAAGCACCGGCUAACUCCGUGCCAGCAGCCGCGGUAAUAC